AUUGAACGCUGGCGGCAGGCCUCACACAUGCAAGUCGAACGAGUGGCGGACGGGUGAGUAAUGUCUGGGAAACUGCCCGAUGGAGGGGGAUAACUACUGGAAACGGUAGCUAAUACCGCAUCCCAUCGGAUGUGCCCAGAUGGGAUUAGCUAGUAGGUGGGGUAACGGCUCACCUAGGCGACGAUCCCUAGCUGUUCUGAGAGGAUGACUAGCCACCCGGGAACUUAGACACGGUCCAGAUUCCGACGUGAGUCAGCAGUGGGGAAUAUUGUACAAUGGGCGCAAGCCUGAUGCAGCCAGGCCGCGUGUAUGAAGAAGGCCUUCGGGUUGUAAAGUACUUUCAGCGAGGAGGCGUUACUCGCAGAAGAAGCACCGGCUAACGCCGUGCCAGCAGCCGCGGUAAUUC
rnacentral:rRNA from 1 species